UUCAGUUUUGUUCGAGAUCAUACACACGAAUUUGUGUAAUUUUCACAAGUUCCUCUUGUAGAAUCAAGAAAAUGAUUAAAACUGAACAUUUUUUUAUCACGUAUACAAGACCAUUGCACAUAAGUUAAUUGGAAAUUAAGUAAUCUGGAGCAAAAUCUCACUGAUAAAAGGAUCAUAGUUAUCAAAGCUAUGAAUAUGAAUUUUAAGAUGCAUUAUAAGGGGAAUUUUUUGUGUUUCCUGUUUGGCUAACAGCCUUUAGGAAAACAUUGUCGUUGAUGGUAACUUUCAUGGUGCUUACUUAAAGGUAUGAAUUUGUACAUACAAAGCCUAAAUAUAGCUUUCAAAUAAAAGCAUUUUAAAAAAGUGCUUGGGUAUCAAUUUACAAUUGGUGUUAAAAUUCUUGAAUAAAAACGCACAUUUCCGCUGUUCUAUAGUUGUUGUGGAUUAAAAAUAA